rnacentral:rRNA from 1 species
GAUGAACGCUGACAGAAUGCUUAACACAUGCAAGUCUACUUGAUCCUUCGGGUGAUGGUGGCGGACGGGUGAGUAACGCGUAAAGAACUUGCCCUGCAGUCUGGGACAACAUUUGGAAACGAAUGCUAAUACCGGAUAUUAUGCGAGAUUCGCAUGUUUCUCGUAUGAAAGCUAUAUGCGCUGCAGGAGAGCUUUGCGUCCUAUUAGCUAGUUGGUGAGGUAACGGCUCACCAAGGCGAUGAUAGGUAGCCGGCCUGAGAGGGUGAACGGCCACAAGGGGACUGAGACACGGCCCUUACUCCUACGGGAGGCAGCAGUGGGGAAUAUUGGACAAUGGACCAAAAGUCUGAUCCAGCAAUUCUGUGUGCAUGAUGAAGUUUUUCGGAAUGUAAAGUGCUUUCAGUUGGGACGAAGUAAGUGACGGUACCAACAGAAGAAGCGACGGCUAAAUACGUGCCAGCAGCCGCGGUAAUACGUAUGUCGCAAGCGUUAUCCGGAUUUAUUGGGCGUAAAGCGCGUCUAGGCGGUUUGGUAAGUCUGAUGUGAAAAUGCGGGGCUCAACUCCGUAUUGCGUUGGAAACUGUCAAACUAGAGUACUGGAGAGGUGGGCGGAACUACAAGUGUAGAGGUGAAAUUCGUAGAUAUUUGUAGGAAUGCCGAUGGGGAAGCCAGCCCACUGGACAGAUACUGACGCUAAAGCGCGAAAGCGUGGGUAGCAAACAGGAUUAGAUACCCUGGUAGUCCACGCCGUAAACGAUGAUUACUAGGUGUUGGGGGUCGAACCUCAGCGCCCAAGCUAACGCGAUAAGUAAUCCGCCUGGGGAGUACGUACGCAAGUAUGAAACUCAAAGGAAUUGACGGGGACCCGCACAAGCGGUGGAGCAUGUGGUUUAAUUCGACGCAACGCGAGGAACCUUACCAGCGUUUGACAUCCUAGGAAGUUGGCAGAGAUGCCUUCGUGCCCCUUCGGGGGAACCUAGUGACAGGUGGUGCAUGGCUGUCGUCAGCUCGUGUCGUGAGAUGUUGGGUUAAGUCCCGCAGCGAGCGCAACCCCUUUCGUAUGUUGCCAUCAUUAAGUUGGGAACUCAUGCGAUACUGCCUGCGAUGAGCAGGAGGAAGGUGGGGAUGACGUCAAGUCAUCAUGCCCCUUAUACGCUGGGCUACACACGUGCUACAAUGGGUAGUACAGAGAGUCGCUAACCUGCGAGGGGGAGCUAAUCUCAGAAAACUAUUCUCAGUUCGGAUUGUACUCUGCAACUCGAGUACAUGAAGUUGGAAUCGCUAGUAAUCGCAAAUCAGCUAUGUUGCGGUGAAUACAUUCUCGGGUCU